rnacentral:rRNA from 1 species
UGCCAGCCGCCGCGGUAAUACGGAGGGUGCAAGCGUUGCUCGGAAUCACUGGGCGUAAAGCGAACGCAGGCGGACUAACAAGUCGGGUGUGAAAGCCCGGGGCUCAACCCCGGAACUACAUUUGAAACUGUUAAUCUCGAGUAUGGGAGAGGGAAGCGGAAUUCCUGGUGUAGAGGUGAAAUUCGUAGAUAUCAGGAGGAACACCCGUGGCGAAAGCGGCUUCCUGGCCCAAUACUGACGCUCAUGUUCGAAAGCGUGGGGAGCAAACAGGAUUAGAUA